rnacentral:rRNA from 1 species
UACGUAGGGCGCAAGCGUUGUCCGGAAUUAUUGGGCGUAAAGAGCUCGUAGGCGGCUUGUCACGUCGGGUGUGAAAGCCCGGGGCUUAACCCCGGGUCUGCAUCCGAUACGGGCAGGCUAGAGUGUGGUAGGGGAGAUCGGAAUUCCUGGUGUAGCGGUGAAAUGCGCAGAUAUCAGGAAGAACACCCGUGGCGAAAGCGGCUCUCUGGAACGGUACUGACGCUGAGACGCGAAAGCGUGGGGAGCGAACAGG